GUUGCAAGUAAUCCUGUUCGUACACGCGCGAUCGUAACCGCGGCUACAGAGGCCGCGUCGCAAAGGUGAUUCUAAGUCGCGUGCUACGGCUCGCUAUCUCGAUCAGCGGUCUAUCGUACGCACGUACGAAAACGGAAACGUGUACUCUCCGCGAGUUGUGUCGGUCGAUAAGGUACAGUGGGGUGGAGCGGCGCCGUCGCUGCGGCCGAACACAGCUCUUCGAGACCACGGGAGGUCGCGAGGCGACGCGCGCCGUCCCGACGUCUCUGACGGAGCCGAUAACGCCGGAUCGCGAUAGCCCAGUGCCCCAGACUUCUCGCAGGGACGGCUCAAAAUGUGAUCCAACGUACGACGUGCCACAACAGUGUUUGCUCCAGCAUCGUCGAACAUGAACUCUGUCAUCAUGUUACCUCGAAAGACUUGAUCGAAUAGUUGAUUGAUUGCUGGAAUAGUUAGGCAAGAGGUAACUAGAAUAGUUGGGCGGUACGGGGUUCCUCGAGAACCUGAAGAGGUUCGUGAAGGAUUUUGAGGUUCGAAGAGGAUCAAAGAGGAAGGGUCAAAGAGGAGUCCCCGUGAAAACGGGGCUCCCUCGUGGAAGCCCCAGCUGGCCCGUGGAUGCCUCCGGCACUGCACGUCGGUGGUGACGAAGGGGCUGAUGUCAGUGCGGCCACUCGACGCCCGUUCCGUGGCUGGGAUGCGCGAACGCGACACCCGCAUCGUCCUCUAACCGCGAGUGAAGCUCCCGGCCGAGGCAGAGGCGGCGGUAGCAACGGCCGAUGACGGUGAUGGUCAGCCGCGAAACAGUGGUGAUUGCUGACUGGUGCACGAUCAAACGCAAUCUCUGUGUCGCGUACGGUGCUGUGCCGGUCGUUCGGUCGGUCCUGGGGGCGCAGCUUCGGGAAUAAUGCGUGUUAGCCACGUUACGCGGCGACAGGACGACGCGAGGGACCCGAGCAGCCAGCCGCGGCUGCACCUGCAGCUACGCAAUUAUGUACGCGUACGGUUUCGAGAUCACGUAGUGGCUGCCGUGUAAUAUCAUCGCCGUGCGGCGCGCCCUGUCAAGCUUCAAGAACGGGGAACAUGGCGGCGUCGGUCUCGGACGAGGUACUCAGCAACCAUGGGCACACCUUCAGCAAGAAGAUGUUCCACAAGCCGACGUACUGCCAUAGCUGCACUGACAUGCUCUGGGGACUCAUACAGCUGGGGAACAUCUGCGAAGUUUGUAACUACGUGGUGCACGACCGGUGUCUCAAAUCCGUCGUCUCUCCCUGCUCUAGCAUCGCGGCAAGCCUCAUUAAGAACCCGGUUGCACACUGUUGGUCCGAACCGGUAACUCGUAGAAGAAAAUUCUGCAACGUCUGUCGUAAACGGCUCGAUGAUAAUCCAUCCGUACAUUGUGAAAUAUGCAUGUACUUCGUGCACACGGAUUGCCAGAACUUUGCCUUGGCGGAUUGCAAGGAGAACGCCACGUAUUUACCUGGAAAGGACUUGGCGCAGGUAAAACACACUCAUCACUGGCGAGAAGGCAAUCUUCCCAGCAGUUCGAAAUGCGCUGUCUGCAAGAAAAACUGUUUCACUGCCGAGUGCCUUUCCGGGUUUCGUUGCGAGUGGUGCGGCAUGACGUUGCACUCUUACUGUUACAAAAAUAUCCCGCAAGUAUGCACGUUUGGGAUUUUGAAGCCGAUCUACUUACCACCGCACGCAGUCAGUAUUCCACGAACAGAGGUUCCCAUGGAGGCCAUAAUCGGUGUACAAGUACGUCGAAAAGAAGUUCUGGCGCGUGAGUAUUCCUGCCCAUGUGUUGUAUGUGUUGCUUCGGUGCAUGUACUGUCACACUCAGCCCGCUGGAUGCUAUGAGAGUAACCACCGUGACGUUUGUCACGCACACAUCAUGAACAACAAGAAUGCUACUGAAUAAAUCUUCUUCUUCCUAUCAUGUGUGCUCUGCAAACCCAUCGUGCCCGAUGCACGAAGCAUAUCGGAAGAGUUCAGCAGCGCGGACGCGAAGUAUCGCGAUAAUGGCGAAUCGGGAUCGGGUGCCAACUAUUG
rnacentral:misc_RNA from 1 species